rnacentral:tRNA from 1 species
UUAUUUUCAAUUAAAUUGGAAAAUAUCUGAAUUAGAAAUCACUGUGCUGAUGAAAGUUCAAUUCUUUCAAGGUAAG